AGAAAGAUAAGCUAAAUAAAGCUAAUGAGUUCAUACCUCAUCAAUGGACAUAAAUUAUCCUCUUUCUA
rnacentral:tRNA from 1 species